rnacentral:rRNA from 1 species
UAGCGAUAGCUAAUUGCAAAUCUCGACUUAGUCGAAUAAAAUUCUGGGUAGACAUUUGAUAAUGACAAUAUCUGCCCAUUAGUCUUGACCAAACUACGUGCCAGCAGUCGCGGUAAUACGUAAAAGACUAGUGUUAUUCAUCUUUAAUAGGUUUAAAGGGUACCUAGACGGUAAAUCAAGCACUAAUUUACUAGAGUUACUUGUGAGGGGGCACAAAAGUACUAAUGGUGUAGAGAUGAAAUUCUGCGAUACUUCUUUUCGAUGGCACAGGUAUAGGCGAAAGCAUCCCCUUAUGUGAUAACUGACGUUGAAGGACGAAGG